CUGAAGUAUAUAAUAAUAUAAGAGCACUAUAUCAUUGGAAUGGACACAUAAUGUUCAUUAAAUGGUAAGAGAACAACCUUUGCAGUUAUAUCCUUUGUGUCAAAAACAUACAAGUGUUCAGGUGCUUUCAUUGACACAAUAACAUGGAAACAAUUUCAGGGGAAGCAACUUCUGCAUGACAAUAGCACUGUGAAAGUGUUAUGUUCACUGCAGUUACAAUAUCACUUUUCUCAACUUCAGAAAAUUCAGUCUUUUUACUGAAGACAUAGCUGGGGGCAAAUAUUACCAUUUCAGGGGAAGCAACUUCUGCAUGACAAUAGCACUGUGAAAGUGUUAUGUUCACUGCAGUUACAAUAUCACUUUUCUCAACUUCAGAAAAUUCAGUCUUUUUACUGAAGUAUAUAAUAAUAUAAGAGCACUAUAUCAUUGGAAUGGACACAUAAUGUUCAUUAAAUGGUAAGAGAACAACCUUUGCAGUUAUAUCCUUUGUGUCAAAAACAUACAAGUGUUCAGGUGCUUUCAUUGACACAAUAACAUGGAAACAAUUUCAGGGGAAGCAACUUCUGCAUGACAAUAGCACUGUGAAAGUGUUAUGUUCACUGCAGUUACAAUAUCACUUUUCUCAACUUCAGAAAAUUCAGUCUUUUUACUGAAGACAUAGCUGGGGGCAAAUAUUACCAUUUCAGGGGAAGCAACUUCUGCAUGACAAUAGCACUGUGAAAGUGUUAUGUUCACUGCAGUUACAAUAUCACUUUUCUCAACUUCAGAAAAUUCAGUCUUUUUACUGAAGUAUAUAAUAAUAUAAGAGCACUAUAUCAUUGGAAUGGACACAUAAUGUUCAUUAAAUGGUAAGAGAACAACCUUUGCAGUUAUAUCCCUUGUGUCAAAAACAUACAAGUGUUCAGGUGCUUUAAUUGACACAAUAACAUGGAAACAAUUUCAGGGGAAGCAACUUCUGCAUGACAAUAGCACUGUGAAAGUGUUAUGUUCACUGCAGUUACAAUAUCACUUUUCUCAACUUCAGAAAAUUCAGUCUUUUUACUGAAGUAUAUAAUAAUAUAAGAGCACUAUAUCAUUGGAAUGGACACAUAAUGUUCAUUAAAUGGUAAGAGAACAACCUUUGCAGUUAUAUCCUUUGUGUCAAAAACAUACAAGUGUUCAGAUGCUUUCAUUGACACAAUAACAUGGAAACAAUUUCAGGGGAAGCAACUUCUGCAUGACAAUAGCACUGUGAAAGUGUUAUGUUCACUGCAGUUACAAUAUCACUUUUCUCAACUUCAGAAAAUUCAGUCUUUUUACUGAAGACAUAGCUGGGGGCAAAUAUUACCAUUUCAGGGGAAGCAACUUCUGCAUGACAAUAGCACUGUGAAAGUGUUAUGUUCACUGCAGUUACAAUAUCACUUUUCUCAACUUCAGAAAAUUCAGUCUUUUUACUGAAGUAUAUAAUAAUAUAAGAGCACUAUAUCAUUGGAAUGGACACAUAAUGUUCAUUAAAUGGUAAGAGAACAACCUUUGCAGUUAUAUCCCUUGUGUCAAAAACAUACAAGUGUUCAGAUGCUUUAAUUGACACAAUAACAUGGAAACAAUUUCAGGGGAAGCAACUUCUGCAUGACAAUAGCACUGUGAAAGUGUUAUGUUCACUGCAGUUACAAUAUCACUUUUCUCAACUUCAGAAAAUUCAGUCUUUUUACUGAAGUAUAUAAUAAUAUAAGAGCACUAUAUCAUUGGAAUGGACACAUAAUGUUCAUUAAAUGGUAAGAGAACAACCUUUGCAGUUAUAUCCUUUGUGUCAAAAACAUACAAGUGUUCAGGUGCUUUCAUUGACACAAUAACAUGGAAACAAUUUCAGGGGAAGCAACUUCUGCAUGACAAUAGCACUGUGAAAGUGUUAUGUUCACUGCAGUUACAAUAUCACUUUUCUCAACUUCAGAAAAUUCAGUCUUUUUACUGAAGUAUAUAAUAAUAUAAGAGCACUAUAUCAUUGGAAUGGACACAUAAUGUUCAUUAAAUGGUAAGAGAACAACCUUUGCAGUUAUAUCCCUUGUGUCAAAAACAUACAAGUGUUCAGGUGCUUUCAUUGACACAAUAACAUGGAAACAAUUUCAGGGGAAGCAACUUCUGCAUGACAAUAGCACUGUGAAAGUGUUAUGUUCACUGCAGUUACAAUAUCACUUUUCUCAACUUCAGAAAAUUCAGUCUUUUUACUGAAGUAUAUAAUAAUAUAAGAGCACUAUAUCAUUGGAAUGGACACAUAAUGUUCAUUAAAUGGUAAGAGAACAACCUUUGCAGUUAUAUCCCUUGUGUCAAAAACAUACAAGUGUUCACCAAGGUUGCUGACGACAGAUAUAUUCACCUUGAGAGAAUCAAAAGGAUAAUCAAAGAAGCAUUGUCGAUCACCAAAUUUUUGGCAAACACAGAGUCUCAAAUUAUCUUGACAUAUCACAUUCUUAAUUAUGUAUGUGUCUUUUCCAAUAAGUACCGAAUUGUCUGGUGCUUUAAUUGACAACAAAAAAUUUGGCAUCUGAAUUUGUUCAAACUGAGUGCAGAAAGCAGAAAUAUCUGAAAGAGGCCCUUUACAAUGUUUCUUUUUACAAUAUAUUCUACUUUUUUUUUCAGCCGACACCAGAUGCAUCUUUUCUCUUAAACGACGAACAACCUGUUCAAGAGGAUAUUUAGGUUUCCUAAUUAAUCUUUUCAGUGUCUGAAGAUAGUUUUCAAAUGGGAAUCCUGAAAAGUUGUGUAGUGGCCCAAAUCGCCUCGAGCAUGCUGGUAGGUGUAUCAAAGCAUGAACAUUGUAUACAAGCAUUUCUCGACCAUACAGCUGGCCAAAAUGUUGGACAAAAGAAACAAAGAGUUCUUCAACAUAAUCAACACACUGAGAAUAUAGACUACUGUUGCAAAGCAGAGAAACCCCGGCGGAAAGCAUCAUGAAGUUUUUAUAGACAAUAUCGGACACUGUCGCUUUUAAGCAUACAGGUCCCGUAUAUAAAAGGAAUGUCCUAAGUUCAGUCGCUUUCCAUCUUUCAAUUUCAUCAAGUCUUCUUCCUUUACGAGCAAAUUCUCUUGGCAAAAAAGAUCCAAGGGCCAAAAUAGCAUUUGACAGCAAGUUGGUUUUGGCAGCUCCGAUGCGGACAUGUAAUGGUCCUUUAGUCCAAAUGUUUAAGAUUUUUUUAACAAUGCCUAAACAAAUCAGAUGCAUAUAGUCGAGAGGAAAUUGUGUGACCAUCCCUAUGUUUAAUUCCCUCAACUUUGAUACACCACGAUGAUGUUCUUCACAGGUCAUCUCAUCAAAAGCAACGUUUGUCCUUAAUCUGGCCUUAACAUCAGGAAAUGUCAUUCUGUGCAUUACAUACUCUCCAGGUUGUUCACAGUAGUCACAUGCAUAGUAGCCACUAUGACCUUUUGUUAGUUUGACCAUUGAACGUGCAGGUGUAUCACACACAAAAUUUUCAAUGGUAACCUUAUGUACUUUAUUGCCAACAGUUACACCACUGACCAUGAUUGCCUUCAUUUCAUCAAUGAAAUACUGCAGCAAUGUUCUCCCAUCCUUGGGAAGUGAAGGGAAAAAAGGCCUGAGUAGAGCAAGUAGGGUGUUUGUAUGUGCUAAUGGCGUUGAACUGUUGAGGACCCAUUCUCUAAGCUUGUCCCUGAAGUUGUCUGAUUCGUCGCCCAAUGAUUCUACGUCACUGUCACAACUAGACUCGCUUUCACUGUUUGGAUCAUUUCCAAAAACACCUGCAUCUGAAUCACAGUCUACAUCACUAACUGCAAAAGCUUCUUCCUCAUGGGCAACAUUACAAACUGGAUCAUCACAAUUGUCAUCAUUCAACAUGAAAGUGUCAAAGUCCUGAACACCAUAAUUAUUUUCCUGAUUUAUGUCAUCGCAAGCUUUAUUAUUUCUUUCUAAUUCUAAAACUGUUAUCAUUUCUUCAGCCUUGAUGGCAGAUUGACGACGAAUGGUCCUGUCAGAAAGUAUUCUAUCUUUAUUCAUGGUGACUGAAUUCAUCUGUAACAGAGUCAGGGUGAAGUUAAGUCUCAGGAUUGUAUAAUAUUUAUCCCUUAAAGUAAUGUUCAAACAAAAAGGAGAGUUUCAGUGGCUCAUAUAUAUAUUUUGUAGCCUCGAUCUGUGAAUACAAUCAUAUUGAACAUUGAUAAAUAUCCAUAGUGUAAUUUAUUGUGUGAAAAAAUAUGUGAAAGGGUUGGGAAUCCUGUUUUGUUAUUUAAAAAUAUGACACUAUUUGGAAACAAAUUAAAAUUACUUAAUGAGUAAAACCUUUGGGAAUUUUGACAUGUACCAUUGGAAAAAGUCCAUAUUUGAUCAUUUAGAAAUAUCUAGAAAUUUAGUAGCAAAUUAAAACUACCUAAUGAGUCAAACUUUUGGGGAUUUUGACUUGUAACCACAAUGUACCAUCGGUAAACAAAAUCACAUAGAAAUAUCUCAACGCUUGGGAACAAACUAAAACUUGACAUUUUGACCUAUACCCACAAUGAACCAUUGGGGAAAAUCCUGUUUUGUCUAGAAAAGAAUAGCUCAACAUUGAGAAAUAGAUUAAAACUACCUAGCGAGUAAAAGCUUUGGGAAUUUUGACUUGUAACCACAAUGUACUAUUGUAAAUAAAUCUUUUUUUGACAUUUAGAAAUAUCUCAAUAAUUAGAAACAAAUUAAAAUUACUUAAUGAGUAAAACCUUUGGGAAUUUUGACAUGUACCAUUGGAAAAAGUCCAUAUUUGGUCAUUUAGAAAUAUCUCGAAAUUUAGUAGCAAAUUAAAACUACCUAAUGAGUCAAACUUUUGGGGAUUUUGACUUGUAACCACAAUGUACCAUCGGUAAACAAAAUCACAUAGAAAUAUCUCAACGCUUGGGAACAAACUAAAACUUGACAUUUUGACCUAUACCCACAAUGAACCAUUGGUGAAAAUCCUGUUUUGUCUAGAAAAGAAUAGCUCAACAUUGAGAAAUAGAUUAAAACUACCUAGCGAGUAAAAGCUUUGGGAAUUUGACUUGUAACCACAAUGUACUAUUGUAAAUAAAUCUUUUUUUGACAUUUAGAAAUAUCUCAAUAAUUAGAAACAAAUUAAAAUUACUUAAUGAGUAAAACCUUUGGGAAUUUUGACAUGUACCAUUGGAAAAAGUCCAUAUUUGGUCAUUUAGAAAUAUCUCGAAAUUUAGUAGCAAAUUAAAACUACCUAAUGAGUCAAACUUUUGGGGAUUUUGACUUGUAACCACAAUGUACCAUCGGUAAACAAAAUCACAUAGAAAUAUCUCAACGCUUGGGAACAAACUAAAACUUGACAUUUUGACCUAUACCCACAAUGAACCAUUGGGGAAAAUCCUGUUUUGUCUAGAAAAGAAUAGCUCAACAUUGAGAAAUAGAUUAAAACUACCUAGCGAGUAAAAGCUUUGGGAAUUUUGACUUGUAACCACAAUGUACUAUUGUAAAUAAAUCUUUUUUUGACAUUUAGAAAUAUCUCAAUAAUUAGAAACAAAUUAAAAUUACUUAAUGAGUAAAACCUUUGGGAAUUUUGACAUGUACCAUUGGAAAAAGUCCAUAUUUGGUCAUUUAGAAAUAUCUCGAAAUUUAGUAGCAAAUUAAAACUACCUAAUGAGUCAAACUUUUGGGGAUUUUGACUUGUAACCACAUUGUACCAUCGGUAAACAAAAUCACAUAGAAAUAUCUCAACGCUUGGGAACAAACUAAAACUUGACAUUUUGACCUAUACCCACAAUGAACCAUUGGGGAAAAUCCUGUUUUGUCUAGAAAAGAAUAGCUCAACAUUGAGAAAUAGAUUAAAACUACCUAGCGAGUAAAAGCUUUGGGAAUUUUGACUUGUAACCACAAUGUACUAUUGUAAAUAAAUCUUUUUUUGACAUUUAGAAAUAUCUCAAUAAUUAGAAACAAAUUAAAAUUACUUAAUGAGUAAAACCUUUGGGAAUUUUGACAUGUACCAUUGGAAAAAGUCCAUAUUUGGUCAUUUAGAAAUAUCUCGAAAUUUAGUAGCAAAUUAAAACUACCUAAUGAGUCAAACUUUUGGGGAUUUUGACUUGUAACCACAAUGUACCAUCGGUAAACAAAAUCACAUAGAAAUAUCUCAACGCUUGGGAACAAACUAAAACUUGACAUUUUGACCUAUACCCACAAUGAACCAUUGGUGAAAAUCCUGUUUUGUCUAGAAAAGAAUAGCUCAACAUUGAGAAAUAGAUUAAAACUACCUAGCGAGUAAAAGCUUUGGGAAUUUUGACUUGUAACCACAAUGUACUAUUGUAAAUAAAUCUUUUUUUGACAUUUAGAAAUAUCUCAAUAAUUAGAAACAAAUUAAAAUUACUUAAUGAGUAAAACCUUUGGGAAUUUUGACAUGUACCAUUGGAAAAAGUCCAUAUUUGGUCAUUUAGAAAUAUCUCGAAAUUUAGUAGCAAAUUAAAACUACCUAAUGAGUCAAACUUUUGGGGAUUUUGACUUGUAACCACAAUGUACCAUCGGUAAACAAAAUCACAUAAAAAUAUCUCAACGCUUGGGAACAAACUAAAACUUGACAUUUUGACCUAUACCCACAAUGAACCAUUGGGGAAAAUCCUGUUUUGUCUAGAAAAGAAUAGCUCAACAUUGAGAAAUAGAUUAAAACUACCUAGCGAGUAAAAGCUUUGGGAAUUUUGACUUGUAACCACAAUGUACUAUUGUAAAUAAAUCUUUUUUUGACAUUUAGAAAUAUCUCAAUAAUUAGAAACAAAUUAAAAUUACUUAAUGAGUAAAACCUUUGGGAAUUUUGACAUGUACCAUUGGAAAAAGUCCAUAUUUGGUCAUUUAGAAAUAUCUCGAAAUUUAGUAGCAAAUUAAAACUACCUAAUGAGUCAAACUUUUGGGGAUUUUGACUUGUAACCACAAUGUACCAUCGGUAAACAAAAUCACAUAAAAAUAUCUCAACGCUUGGGAACAAACUAAAACUUGACAUUUUGACCUAUACCCACAAUGAACCAUUGGGGAAAAUCCUGUUUUGUCUAGAAAAGAAUAGCUCAACAUUGAGAAAUAGAUUAAAACUACCUAGCGAGUAAAAGCUUUGGGAAUUUUGACUUGUAACCACAAUGUACUAUUGUAAAUAAAUCUUUUUUUGACAUUUAGAAAUAUCUCAAUAAUUAGAAACAAAUUAAAAUUACUUAAUGAGUAAAACCUUUGGGAAUUUUGACAUGUACCAUUGGAAAAAGUCCAUAUUUGGUCAUUUAGAAAUAUCUCGAAAUUUAGUAGCAAAUUAAAACUACCUAAUGAGUCAAACUUUUGGGGAUUUUGACUUGUAACCACAAUGUACCAUCGGUAAACAAAAUCACAUAGAAAUAUCUCAACGCUUGGGAACAAACUAAAACUUGACAUUUUGACCUAUACCCACAAUGAACCAUUGGUGAAAAUCCUGUUUUGUCUAGAAAAGAAUAGCUCAACAUUGAGAAAUAGAUUAAAACUACCUAGCGAGUAAAAGCUUUGGGAAUUUUGACUUGUAACCACAAUGUACUAUUGUAAAUAAAUCUUUUUUUGACAUUUAGAAAUAUCUCAAUAAUUAGAAACAAAUUAAAAUUACUUAAUGAGUAAAACCUUUGGGAAUUUUGACAUGUACCAUUGGAAAAAGUCCAUAUUUGGUCAUUUAGAAAUAUCUCGAAAUUUAGUAGCAAAUUAAAACUACCUAAUGAGUCAAACUUUUGGGGAUUUUGACUUGUAACCACAAUGUACCAUCGGUAAACAAAAUCACAUAGAAAUAUCUCAACGCUUGGGAACAAACUAAAACUUGACAUUUUGACCUAUACCCACAAUGAACCAUUGGGGAAAAUCCUGUUUUGUCUAGAAAAGAAUAGCUCAACAUUGAGAAAUAGAUUAAAACUACCUAGCGAGUAAAAGCUUUGGGAAUUUUGACUUGUAACCACAAUGUACUAUUGUAAAUAAAUCUUUUUUUGACAUUUAGAAAUAUCUCAAUAAUUAGAAACAAAUUAAAAUUACUUAAUGAGUAAAACCUUUGGGAAUUUUGACAUGUACCAUUGGAAAAAGUCCAUAUUUGGUCAUUUAGAAAUAUCUCGAAAUUUAGUAGCAAAUUAAAACUACCUAAUGAGUCAAACUUUUGGGGAUUUUGACUUGUAACCACAAUGUACCAUCGGUAAACAAAAUCACAUAGAAAUAUCUCAACGCUUGGGAACAAACUAAAACUUGACAUUUUGACCUAUACCCACAAUGAACCAUUGGUGAAAAUCCUGUUUUGUCUAGAAAAGAAUAGCUCAACAUUGAGAAAUAGAUUAAAACUACCUAGCGAGUAAAAGCUUUGGGAAUUUGACUUGUAACCACAAUGUACUAUUGUAAAUAAAUCUUUUUUUGACAUUUAGAAAUAUCUCAAUAAUUAGAAACAAAUUAAAAUUACUUAAUGAGUAAAACCUUUGGGAAUUUUGACAUGUACCAUUGGAAAAAGUCCAUAUUUGGUCAUUUAGAAAUAUCUCGAAAUUUAGUAGCAAAUUAAAACUACCUAAUGAGUCAAACUUUUGGGGAUUUUGACUUGUAACCACAAUGUACCAUCGGUAAACAAAAUCACAUAGAAAUAUCUCAACGCUUGGGAACAAACUAAAACUUGACAUUUUGACCUAUACCCACAAUGAACCAUUGGGGAAAAUCCUGUUUUGUCUAGAAAAGAAUAGCUCAACAUUGAGAAAUAGAUUAAAACUACCUAGCGAGUAAAAGCUUUGGGAAUUUUGACUUGUAACCACAAUGUACUAUUGUAAAUAAAUCUUUUUUUGACAUUUAGAAAUAUCUCAAUAAUUAGAAACAAAUUAAAAUUACUUAAUGAGUAAAACCUUUGGGAAUUUUGACAUGUACCAUUGGAAAAAGUCCAUAUUUGGUCAUUUAGAAAUAUCUCGAAAUUUAGUAGCAAAUUAAAACUACCUAAUGAGUCAAACUUUUGGGGAUUUUGACUUGUAACCACAUUGUACCAUCGGUAAACAAAAUCACAUAGAAAUAUCUCAACGCUUGGGAACAAACUAAAACUUGACAUUUUGACCUAUACCCACAAUGAACCAUUGGGGAAAAUCCUGUUUUGUCUAGAAAAGAAUAGCUCAACAUUGAGAAAUAGAUUAAAACUACCUAGCGAGUAAAAGCUUUGGGAAUUUUGACUUGUAACCACAAUGUACUAUUGUAAAUAAAUCUUUUUUUGACAUUUAGAAAUAUCUCAAUAAUUAGAAACAAAUUAAAAUUACUUAAUGAGUAAAACCUUUGGGAAUUUUGACAUGUACCAUUGGAAAAAGUCCAUAUUUGGUCAUUUAGAAAUAUCUCGAAAUUUAGUAGCAAAUUAAAACUACCUAAUGAGUCAAACUUUUGGGGAUUUUGACUUGUAACCACAAUGUACCAUCGGUAAACAAAAUCACAUAAAAAUAUCUCAACGCUUGGGAACAAACUAAAACUUGACAUUUUGACCUAUACCCACAAUGAACCAUUGGGGAAAAUCCUGUUUUGUCUAGAAAAGAAUAGCUCAACAUUGAGAAAUAGAUUAAAACUACCUAGCGAGUAAAAGCUUUGGGAAUUUUGACUUGUAACCACAAUGUACUAUUGUAAAUAAAUCUUUUUUUGACAUUUAGAAAUAUCUCAAUAAUUAGAAACAAAUUAAAAUUACUUAAUGAGUAAAACCUUUGGGAAUUUUGACAUGUACCAUUGGAAAAAGUCCAUAUUUGGUCAUUUAGAAAUAUCUCGAAAUUUAGUAGCAAAUUAAAACUACCUAAUGAGUCAAACUUUUGGGGAUUUUGACUUGUAACCACAAUGUACCAUCGGUAAACAAAAUCACAUAGAAAUAUCUCAACGCUUGGGAACAAACUAAAACUUGACAUUUUGACCUAUACCCACAAUGAACCAUUGGUGAAAAUCCUGUUUUGUCUAGAAAAGAAUAGCUCAACAUUGAGAAAUAGAUUAAAACUACCUAGCGAGUAAAAGCUUUGGGAAUUUUGACUUGUAACCACAAUGUACUAUUGUAAAUAAAUCUUUUUUUGACAUUUAGAAAUAUCUCAAUAAUUAGAAACAAAUUAAAAUUACUUAAUGAGUAAAACCUUUGGGAAUUUUGACAUGUACCAUUGGAAAAAGUCCAUAUUUGGUCAUUUAGAAAUAUCUCGAAAUUUAGUAGCAAAUUAAAACUACCUAAUGAGUCAAACUUUUGGGGAUUUUGACUUGUAACCACAAUGUACCAUCGGUAAACAAAAUCACAUAAAAAUAUCUCAACGCUUGGGAACAAACUAAAACUUGACAUUUUGACCUAUACCCACAAUGAACCAUUGGGGAAAAUCCUGUUUUGUCUAGAAAAGAAUAGCUCAACAUUGAGAAAUAGAUUAAAACUACCUAGCGAGUAAAAGCUUUGGGAAUUUUGACUUGUAACCACAAUGUACUAUUGUAAAUAAAUCUUUUUUUGACAUUUAGAAAUAUCUCAAUAAUUAGAAACAAAUUAAAAUUACUUAAUGAGUAAAACCUUUGGGAAUUUUGACAUGUACCAUUGGAAAAAGUCCAUAUUUGGUCAUUUAGAAAUAUCUCGAAAUUUAGUAGCAAAUUAAAACUACCUAAUGAGUCAAACUUUUGGGGAUUUUGACUUGUAACCACAAUGUACCAUCGGUAAACAAAAUCACAUAAAAAUAUCUCAACGCUUGGGAACAAACUAAAACUUGACAUUUUGACCUAUACCCACAAUGAACCAUUGGGGAAAAUCCUGUUUUGUCUAGAAAAGAAUAGCUCAACAUUGAGAAAUAGAUUAAAACUACCUAGCGAGUAAAAGCUUUGGGAAUUUUGACUUGUAACCACAAUGUACUAUUGUAAAUAAAUCUUUUUUUGACAUUUAGAAAUAUCUCAAUAAUUAGAAACAAAUUAAAAUUACUUAAUGAGUAAAACCUUUGGGAAUUUUGACAUGUACCAUUGGAAAAAGUCCAUAUUUGGUCAUUUAGAAAUAUCUCGAAAUUUAGUAGCAAAUUAAAACUACCUAAUGAGUCAAACUUUUGGGGAUUUUGACUUGUAACCACAUUGUACCAUCGGUAAACAAAAUCACAUAAAAAUAUCUCAACGCUUGGGAACAAACUAAAACUUGACAUUUUGACCUAUACCCACAAUGAACCAUUGGGGAAAAUCCUGUUUUGUCUAGAAAAGAAUAGCUCAACAUUGAGAAAUAGAUUAAAACUACCUAGCGAGUAAAACCUUUGGGAAUUUUGACUUGUAACCACAAUGUACUAUUGUAAAUAAAUCUUUUUUUGACAUUUAGAAAUAUCUCAAUAAUUAGAAACAAAUUAAAAUGACUUUAAUGAGGAAAACUUUGGGGAAUUUUUACUUGUAACGACAAUGCACCAUUGUUAAAAAAAUCUUAUUUUGGUCAUAUAGAAAUAUCUCAAAAUUUAGACAAAUUAAAACUUAUUAAUGUGUAAAACCUGUGGGAAUUUUUACUUGUAACAACAAUGUACCAUUGAGAAAGGUCAUUUUUGUCAUUUAAAAAUGACUCAAAAUUGUGAAACAAAUUAAAACUACUUAAUGAGGAAAACUUGUGGGAAUUUGACUUGUAACGAGAAUGUAACAUUGGAAAUAAAUCCAUUGUUGUCAUUUAAAAAUAUCUUUAAAAAAUUAAGAAACAAAUAAAAACUACCUUAUGAAUAAAACAUUUGGAAUUUUGACUUGUAACGACAUUGCACCAUUGUGAUAAAAUCUGAUUUUUGCCAUGAGUAAAACUUGUGUGAAUUUUGACUUGUAAAAAAAAUAUACCAUUAAGAAAAAGUCCGAUAACAAUAUCGCAACGCUUAGGAACAAAUUGAAACUACUUAAUGAGCAAAGAAAUUGACAUUUUGACCUGUACCGACAAUGUACCAUUGUAAAAAAUCCUGUUUUGUCAUUUUAAAAUAUCAUGAAAGUUAGAAACUAAUUAAAAUUAAUUAAUGAGUAAAACUUGUGGGAAUUUCGUCUUGUAACGACAAUACACCUUUGAAAAAAUUCUUUUUUGUAUUGUUUAUGUGUAAAACACAUUCAUAUUUAAUGUAAAGUAAGUUCCAUUUAUGCAAAAUUCACUUACCGUAAAAACCGAUUAUAUCAAUACCGAUGCUGCUGCUGAUCUGUCAGAAGUUCAGCUGUUGAUUUUGGCGGGAAUUAAUUAUGUGACGUAACAUAUGAUAUAUGACGUCAUAUAUUAGUAUUUACGUCAUGUCACGAGGCAUGUCAUGUCAUGUCAUGUUUUUGGAAACGUUUUUGGAAACGCGUUUGUGUUACAUAUUGUCACUAACAUGUAGGAAUGUUCCAGUAAUGUUUUUUUCAGUUAGGUUGCAACAUAAGGUUGUUGAAACAUUGGAAAACUAUUCGUAGAUAUAAAUUAUGUCGUUAUAUAAUCUAAGGUUUGUUUGUUUGUUGUAACGCCGCACUCAGCAAUAUUCCAGCAAGAUUCUAUAUGACUGCGGUCUGUAAAAUAAUCAAGUCUGGAUAUUGUAAGGUGGCCUCAUUGAAAGUAAAACGCUGAAGCAACGUUUUCUUUUGGCUCGUACAUGCAUACCAAUCUGUAUGUGUAUGUAUAUGUAGCGUAUGACAGAGUAUAUAUACGUACGAGACUUCAUUAAUAUUAAUAGUCUUAGUGUUGAACAGGUGCCGGUGCAUUUCAUUGUUUUUCACAUUAUAAGUUGAGAUAUUUUCAAUUCUAAAUCAACAAUAUGAAAUCACCUGUAGGUAUGUGGUUUAUUUGCCCCUUGGUUUACGCAGUUGGGUUUUAGAUAAACACAACGGUUGGCACACACUCGAUUAUGUGGCCGCCAAUCUGAAACUGACUUCUUACAUUAAAUGCCCGUUAUUGAGAAAAAUAUACAACUCUCUGACAAAUAUUGCCAAAAUUAGCUUCACUUGUAUCUACAGAAAGGUUUCUAUCUGGGCACAACUCCCUACACCGAGUGAACAACAACAAAUAUUAUUCACUUUUAGUUUCUUUUUCUUUUCCUGCAGUGGUUUCAAAUUAACCAUUGUUAAUAUGUGUCUUAUACAAAUGCAAAUAACACCAUAUAUAUAUAUACACACACACAUACACACACACAGCGUAACAGUAUAACUACUCUUGAAAAUCACAUGCGUGAAACCGGUUGAGUAAAUUAUACAGCUCAUCUUUGGACUUGUUUAUUAUGUAAAUAUUAUGUGUGUGUGUUAUUUUCUCAUUAGUUGUAUAUUAUUUCUAUGCACUGUACAUAUAUUUUUCACAAUAAAAAAUCGCAUAUUACCAUGUAAAGAAAUGUAUAUAGACGGCCUCAUUGGUGUAUUAAUUGUGACUAAUCCAUUUGAUUUUCCGCAUUAAAAUAUGUUUUAAUCAA
rnacentral:lncRNA from 1 species